GGGUCCCUCCUGCUUUGGCAGCAUGACCAUGACAACUACCCUCUUUCUGAAGUGAGAUAAUAUACAUCUCCCUUUUGAUCUUGACCAAUAUAAAUAACAAGUAAUUAUGGCAGACUAGUGUGCUGCACAUCUGUGGACCCCUCCAAGGCAGGCAGAUGGGCAUCUCAUGGUUUGGACUUGACCUCCGAGACCCAGCUGGGUGCAUCUGGAUGAGACUCAACCACAAAGGGGCCCAGCCCAAGGUACAAAAGCGAGCGAGUAAAAGAACCAAGGAUGGAGAAAGCCUGCCAGCUGUGUGGAUGGGAAAUCCUUGCUUGCAAACAGUGCCUGACAGUGAGUGAGCAGUGGAAGGCAGAAACCAGAAAGAAAAAAUAAAGGAAGGGAAGGGAAAGGAAGGAGAAGAGAGAGAAGAGAAGAGAAGAGAAGAGA